GGGGCGCCUUGUUAGACUUGGCUCAGACCUCAGCUUCACAAGCUGAUGGCCUGAGUCAGGAGGCCAAGGCUCUCC
rnacentral:pre_miRNA from 1 species